GGCCAGCGAUGACUGAAAUUGUCCGUACCAUCUGAGAUUUCUUGAAUCUUUGAUGUGUUUGUAUUAUUAACUCUCUGAGGCCC